rnacentral:rRNA from 1 species
AUUGAGCGCUGGCGGCAGGCUUAACACAUGCAAGUCGAGCGGGGAAGGUUGCUUCGGUAACUGACCUAGCGGCGGACGGGUGAGUAAUGCUUAGGAAUCUGCCUAUUAGUGGGGGACAACAUUCCGAAAGGGAUGCUAAUACCGCAUACGUCCUACGGGAGAAAGCAGGGGAUCAUUUGACCUUGCGCUAAUAGAUGAGCCUAAGUCGGAUUAGCUAGUUGGUAGGGUAAAGGCCUACCAAGGCGAGGAUCUGUAGCGGGUCUGAGAGGAUGCUCCGCCAAACUGGGAAUGAGACGCGGCCCAGACGCCUGCGGGAGGCAGCAGGGGGGAAUAUUGGACAAUGGGGGGAACCCUGAUCCAGCCAUGCCGCGUGUGUGAAGAAGGCCUUUUGGUUGUAAAGCACUUUAAGCGAGGAGGAGGCUCUCUUGGUUAAUACCUGUGAAGAGUGGACGUUACUCGCAGAAUAAGCACCGGCUAACUCUGUGCCAGCCGCCGCCGUAA